rnacentral:rRNA from 1 species
AUUGAACGCUGGCGGCAUGCUUUACACAUGCAAGUCGAACGGCAGCGCGGGCUUCGGCCUGGCGGCGAGUGGCGAACGGGUGAGUAAUACAUCGGAACGUGCCCAGUAGUGGGGGAUAGCUCGGCGAAAGCCGGAUUAAUACCGCAUACGACCUGAGGGUGAAAGCGGGGGAUCUUCGGACCUCGCGCUAUUGGAGCGGCCGAUGGCAGAUUAGCUAGUUGGUGGGGUAAAGGCCUACCAAGGCGACGAUCUGUAGCUGGUCUGAGAGGACGACCAGCCACACUGGGACUGAGACACGGCCCAGACUCCUACGGGAGGCAGCAGUGGGGAAUUUUGGACAAUGGGCGAAAGCCUGAUCCAGCAAUGCCGCGUGUGAUGAAGGCCUUCGGGUUGUAAAGCACUUUUGGCGGGAACGAAAAGCACUGUGCCAAUACCACGGUUCGAUGACGGUACCCGCAGAAUAAGCACCGGCUAACUACGUG